rnacentral:rRNA from 1 species
AGAGUUUGAUCCUGGCUCAGGAUGACCUCUAGCGACAGGCUUAACACAUGCAAGUCGAGGGGCAGCGGGGUUGUAGCAAUACAACUGCCGGCGACCGGCGCACGGGUGAGUAACACGUAUGUAACCUGCCCUCUGCAGGGGGAUAAGCGGAAGAAAUUCCGUCUAAUACCGCAUGAUACAAUUUGGAGACAUCUCCGGGUUGUCAAAGGAGUGAUUCGGCAGAGGAUGGGCAUGCGGCGCAUUAGCUAGUCGGCGGGGUAACGGCCCACCGAGGCUACGAUGCGUAGGGGUUCUGAGAGGAAGGUCCCCCACACUGGUACUGAGACACGGACCAGACUCCUACGGGAGGCAGCAGUGAGGAAUAUUGGUCAAUGGGCGGAAGCCUGAACCAGCCAAGUCGCGUGAGGGAAGACGGUCCUAUGGAUUGUAAACCUCUUUUGCAGGGGAGCAAGGCGCGGUACGUGUACCGCGAAGGAGAGUACCCUGAGAAAAAGCAUCGGCUAACUCCGUGCCAGCAGCCGCGGUAAUACGGAGGAUGCGAGCGUCAUCCGGAUUUAUUGGGUUUAAAGGGUGCGCAGGCGGACUGUUAAGUCAGCGGUAAAAUGUCGGUGCUCAACACCGGCCGGCCGUUGAAACUGGCAGCCUUGAGUGAGCGAGAAGUAUGCGGAAUGCGUGGUGUAGCGGUGAAAUGCAUAGAUAUCACGCAGAACUCCGAUUGCGAAGGCAGCAUACCGGCGCUCAACUGACGCUCAGGCACGAAAGCGUGGGUAUCGAACAGGCUUAGAUACCCUGGUAGUCCACGCAGUAAACGAUGAAUGCUCACUGUCCGGGCCGUUUAAGGCCUGGGUGGUCAAGCGAAAGCGUUAAGCAUUCCACCUGGGGAGUACGCCGGCAACGGUGAAACUCAAAGGAAUUGACGGGGGCCCGCACAAGCGGAGGAACAUGUGGUUUAAUUCGAUGAUACGCGAGGAACCUUACCCGGGCUCAAACGGAAGGGGACAGUAUGAGAAAUCAUACAUUCCUUCGGGACCGCUUCCGAGGUGCUGCAUGGUUGUCGUCAGCUCGUGCCGUGAGGUGUCGGCUUAAGUGCCAUAACGAGCGCAACCCCUAUCGACAGUUGCUAGCAGGUAAAGCUGAGGACUCUGUCGAGACUGCCGGCGCAAGCUGUGAGGAAGGCGGGGAUGACGUCAAAUCAGCACGGCCCUUACGUCCGGGGCGACACACGUGUUACAAUGGCAGGUACAGCGGGAGGCCACCCGGCGACGGGGCGCAGAACCCGAAAACCUGUCUCAGUUCGGAUUGGAGUCUGCAACCCGACUCCAUGAAGCUGGAUUCGCUAGUAAUCGCGCAUCAGCCACGGCGCGGUGAAUACGUUCCCGGGCCUUGCACACAAAGCCCGUCAAG